CUUAUACUCCCUCCGUCCGGAAAUACUUGUCAUCAAAAUGAAUAAAAGGAGAUGUAUCUAGAUAUAUUUUAGUUCUAGAUACAUCCCUUUUUGUCCAUUUUGAUGACAAGUAUUUUCGGACGGAGGGAGUAGUUG
rnacentral:pre_miRNA from 1 species